rnacentral:rRNA from 1 species
UACGAAGGGGGCUAGCGUUGCUCGGAAUCACUGGGCGUAAAGCGCACGUAGGCGGCUUUCUAAGUCAGGGGUGAAAUCCUGGAGCUCAACUCCAGAACUGCCUUUGAUACUGGAGAGCUUGAGUCCGGGAGAGGUGAGUGGAACUCCGAGUGUAGAGGUGAAAUUCGUAGAUAUUCGCAAGAACACCAGUGGCGAAGGCGGCUCACUGGCCCCGGUACUGACGCUGAGGUGCGGAAAAGCGUGGGGAGCAAACAGGG